UCGCGAUUUGAUACAUUCCGCAGCGUACGAUCCGAAUCAUGGAUACUUCGUUCAGCGGUAACGGUCGGUUGGAGUUAUGGAACAGAGCAUCACGUUCAAUCAGCUUGAAGCCUUGGUAUGCCCAUGGGAUUGCUGAAGCAAUCAUGCGUACUGCCAAUCUUUCUAUUCCACUGAAAGAGACGUGGAAGAGCAGCCGUGUUGGGUAAUUAUGCUUGAGGUUCUGGACAAUCUUCCAUUAUCUUAUGUACUCACAAAAUCAAGUUUCCUCUUGGAUGGAAG